CCAACCGGGAUUGCCUUAGUAACGGCGAGUGAAGCGGCAAAAGCUCAAAUUUGAAAUCUGGUACCUUCGGUGCCCGAGUUGUAAUUUGGAGAGGGCAACUUUGGGGCCGUUCCUUGUCUAUGUUCCUUGGAACAGGACGUCAUAGAGGGUGAGAAUCCCGUGUGGCGAGGAGUGCGGUUCUUUGUAAAGUGCCUUCGAAGAGUCGAGUUGUUUGGGAAUGCAGCUCUAAGUGGGUGGUAAAUUCCAUCUAAAGCUAAAUAUUGGCGAGAGACCGAUAGCGAACAAGUACAGUGAUGGAAAGAUGAAAAGAACUUUGAAAAGAGAGUGAAAAAGUACGUGAAAUUGUUGAAAGGGAAGGGCAUUUGAUCAGACAUGGUGUUUUGUGCCCUCUGCUCCUUGUGGGUAGGGGAAUCUCGCAUUUCACUGGGCCAGCAUCAGUUUUGGUGGCAGGAUAAAUCCAUAGGAAUGUAGCUUGCCUCGGUAAGUAUUAUAGCCUGUGGGAAUACUGCCAGCUGGGACUGAGGACUGCGACGUAAGUCAAGGAUGCUGGCAUAAUGGUUAUAUGCCGCCCGUCUUGAAACACGGACCUCCUGUGUGAGGGGAAUUCCCCCUAA
rnacentral:rRNA from 1 species